AAAUUGAAGAGUUUGAUCAUGGCUCAGAUUGAACGCUGGCGGCAGGCCUAACACAUGCAAGUCGAACGGUAACAGAAAGCAGCUUGCUGCUUUGCUGACGAGUGGCGGACGGGUGAGUAAUGUCUGGGAAACUGCCUGAUGGAGGGGGAUAACUACUGGAAACGGUAGCUAAUACCGCAUAAUGUCGCAAGACCAAAGAGGGGGACCUUCGGGCCUCUUGCCAUCGGAUGUGCCCAGAUGGGAUUAGCUAGUAGGUGGGGUAACGGCUCACCUAGGCGACGAUCCCUAGCUGGUCUGAGAGGAUGACCAGCCACACUGGAACUGAGACACGGUCCAGACUCCUACGGGAGGCAGCAGUGGGGAAUAUUGCACAAUGGGCGCAAGCCUGAUGCAGCCAUGCCGCGUGUAUGAAGAAGGCCUUCGGGUUGUAAAGUACUUUCAGCGGGGAGGAAGGGAGUAAAGUUAAUACCUUUGCUCAUUGACGUUACCCGCAGAAGAAGCACCGGCUAACUCCGUGCCAGCAGCCGCGGUAAUACGGAGGGUGCAAGCGUUAAUCGGAAUUACUGGGCGUAAAGCGCACGCAGGCGGUUUGUUAAGUCAGAUGUGAAAUCCCCGGGCUCAACCUGGGAACUGCAUCUGAUACUGGCAAGCUUGAGUCUCGUAGAGGGGGGUAGAAUUCCAGGUGUAGCGGUGAAAUGCGUAGAGAUCUGGAGGAAUACCGGUGGCGAAGGCGGCCCCCUGGACGAAGACUGACGCUCAGGUGCGAAAGCGUGGGGAGCAAACAGGAUUAGAUACCCUGGUAGUCCACGCCGUAAACGAUGUCGACUUGGAGGUUGUGCCCUUGAGGCGUGGCUUCCGGAGCUAACGCGUUAAGUCGACCGCCUGGGGAGUACGGCCGCAAGGUUAAAACUCAAAUGAAUUGACGGGGGCCCGCACAAGCGGUGGAGCAUGUGGUUUAAUUCGAUGCAACGCGAAGAACCUUACCUGGUCUUGACAUCCACAGAACUUUCCAGAGAUGGAUUGGUGCCUUCGGGAACUGUGAGACAGGUGCUGCAUGGCUGUCGUCAGCUCGUGUUGUGAAAUGUUGGGUUAAGUCCCGCAACGAGCGCAACCCUUAUCCUUUGUUGCCAGCGGUCCGGCCGGGAACUCAAAGGAGACUGCCAGUGAUAAACUGGAGGAAGGUGGGGAUGACGUCAAGUCAUCAUGGCCCUUACGACCAGGGCUACACACGUGCUACAAUGGCGCAUACAAAGAGAAGCGACCUCGCGAGAGCAAGCGGACCUCAUAAAGUGCGUCGUAGUCCGGAUUGGAGUCUGCAACUCGACUCCAUGAAGUCGGAAUCGCUAGUAAUCGUGGAUCAGAAUGCCACGGUGAAUACGUUCCCGGGCCUUGUACACACCGCCCGUCACACCAUGGGAGUGGGUUGCAAAAGAAGUAGGUAGCUUAACCUUCGGGAGGGCGCUUACCACUUUGUGAUUCAUGACUGGGGUGAAGUCGUAACAAGGUAACCGUAGGGGAACCUGCGGUUGGAUCACCUCCUUACCUUAAAGAAGC
rnacentral:rRNA from 1 species